AACGAACGCUGGCGGCAGGCUUAACACAUGCAAGUCGAACGCCCCGCAAGGGGAGUGGCAGACGGGUGAGUAACGCGUGGGAACAUGCCCAAAGGUACGGAAUAUUCUCGGGAAACUGGGAGCAAUACCGUAUGUGCCCGAAAGGGGAAAGAUCUAUCGCCUUUGGAUUGGCCCGCGUUGGAUUAGCUAGUUGGUGGGGUAAUGGCCUACCAAGGCGACGAUCCAUAGCUGGUCUGAGAGGACGACCAGCCACACUGGGACUGCGACACGGCCCAGACUCCUACGGGAGGGAGCAGUGGGGAAGCUUGGACAAUGGGCGAAAGCCUGAUCCAGCCAUGCCGCGUGGAUGAUGAAGGCCCUAGGGUUGUAAAAUCCUUUCGUUGGGGACGAUAAUGACGGUACCCAAAGAAGAAGCUCCGGCUAACUUCGUGCCAGCCGCCGCCGUAA
rnacentral:rRNA from 1 species